CCUACGGGCGGCAGCAGUGGGGAAUAUUGGACAAUGGGCGAAAGCCUGAUCCAGCCAUGCCGCGUGUGUGAAGAAGGCCUUCGGGUUGUAAAGCACUUUCAGUGGGGAAGAAAGCCUUGGGGCUAAUACCCUCGAGGAAGGACAUCACCCACAGAAGAAGCACCGGCUAACUCCGUGCCAGCAGCCGCGGUAAUACGGAGGGUGCGAGCGUUAAUCGGAAUUACUGGGCGUAAAGCGCGCGUAGGCGGUCUGAUAUGCCGGUUGUGAAAGCCCCGGGCUCAACCUGGGAACGGCAUCCGGAACUGUCAGGCUAGAGUGCAGGAGAGGAAGGUAGAAUUCCCGGUGUAGCAGUGAAAUGCGUAGAGAUCGGGAGGAAUACCAGUGGCGAAGGCGGCCUUCUGGACUGACACUGACGCUGAGGUGCGAAAGCGUGGGUAGCAAACAGGAUUAGAUACCCUAGUAGUC
rnacentral:rRNA from 1 species